UUACAACGUUGUUGCGGCAAG
rnacentral:piRNA from 1 species